rnacentral:rRNA from 1 species
UACGUAGGGGGCAAGCGUUGUCCGGAUUUAUUGGGCGUAAAGCGCUCGCAGGUGGUUCGUUGCGUCGUGCGUGAAAGACCCUGGCUCAACUGGGGAGUGUCGUGCGAUACGGGCGGACUAGAGGCCAGUAGGGGGAUGCGGAAUUCCGGGUGUAGUGGUGGAAUGCGUAGAGAUCCGGAGGAACACCAGCGGCGAAGGCGGCAUCCUGGACUGGUCCUGACACUCAGGAGCGAAAGCGUGGGGAGCGAUCCGGAUUAGAAACCCUAGUAGUCC